GUUGAAACAUUAACGAGUAGAGAAAUCUGACAGCUUUCUGUUAGUCUGUAGAAAGUUGGUAACAGAGACAGUUAUCAGCAGCAUCCCAUAACAGCACAGCAAAUCUUUGCAUUUGAGAGAAGACUGUAGUUAUGGUACCAAUGAGGAGGUUUCCUAUCAAAGACAAGCCCCAGGCCACCCGGGCCCUGAAGUUCAUCCAGCUCCAGCUGAUGGAGCUGGCCAAAGACUGUGACAACAAGCUGAAGAACGGUCAGGUCAGCCCCAACUGCUUUGUGGAGCUGGAAACCCAACUGGAGAAGAUUCUCCACGAGACCCGCGCAGCCUGCAAGCCUCCUCCAACAAAACCGGCGAA